rnacentral:rRNA from 1 species
UACGUAGGUGGCAAGCGUUGUCCGGAUUUACUGGGCGUAAAGCGCACGUAGGCGGGUUGUUAAGUCAGGGGUGAAAUCCUGGAGCUCAACUCCAGAACUGCCUUUGAUACUGGCAACCUAGAGGCUGGAAGAGGUUAGUGGAAUUCCCAGUGUAGAGGUGAAAUUCGUAGAUAUUCGCAAGAACACCAGUGGCGAAGGCGGCUCACUGGCCCGGAUACGUGACGCUGAGGUGCGAAAGCGUGGGGAGCAAACAGGG